rnacentral:rRNA from 1 species
UACGAAGGGGCUAGCGUUGCUCGGAAUCACUGGGCGUAAAGGGUGCGUAGGCGGGUCUUUAAGUCAGGGGUGAAUCCUGGAGCUCAACUCCAGAACUGCCUUUGAUACUGAAGAUCUUGAGUUCGGGAGAGGUGAGUGGAACUGCGAGUGUAGAGGUGAAAUUCGUAGAUAUUCGCAAGAACACCAGUGGCGAAGGCGGACUCACUGGCCCG